rnacentral:tRNA from 1 species
CGGUAAACUGGCCGAUCGGCUCGGGCAAGCGCUUCAAGGGUGUGUACGACCGCAUGGACGAUGAGGUUAUCGCGUUUGAGGGCGCGGAUUUCCGCC